ACAUUAUUAGCAGGAUUGUGCUCAGGACCGCGGGAGGCAGCGGUUCUUGUCCAAGAGGGUGUUACGGAUUUGCAAUGAUGAUUACUGCAUCCAAAGAUGCACAAAUGGUAGCUGCCUAUUCCCAGAGUUGGGUGUCACCCCGAGCAGGUCACCAUGAGAUGCAGCUGUCCUGUAAGAAGUAUCCUCAGACAGUGUGGUAAAGCUCACACAGACUCUCCCAGGAUGAGAGAGGAGUGAUGUCACCAUGAAUAUCCCUGUUGUUGCUUAGACUGACGAUCUCUCUCCCUUCUUCAUAAUUUCUUUUAAAAUUUAAGUACUGGCUGAAUACCCUUGAUAAUUCCAGUAUCCAGGUUAGACGCUCCAUGACAUUCUACAGGGAAUGAAGGGGCAAAAAGAGAUGCUCCAACUGACUUUAAGUGCCUGCUAGUGUGUGCAGUUUCCAGUCUCCCCCAAUUAAACCAGCACUUUUACUGUGAGACGUGUCCUGCUUAAGAGAUGGGGGUUUUUCCUAUUUGAUUCAUGUAGUUUCAUUUUGGCAUUGAAUUUUUAAACAAGUGUAAUAAAUUGUGAC